GCCAGGCAUGCUGGUACAUGCCUGUAGUCCCAGCUACUUGGGAGGCUGAGGUGGGAGGAUCGCUUGAGCCCAGGAGGUCAAGGCUGCAGUGAGCUGUGAUCACACCACUGCAUUCCAGCCUGGGCAACAGAGUGAGACCUCGUCUAAA
ensembl:misc_RNA Metazoa_SRP Metazoan signal recognition particle RNA